AAACAAUCUGGUUCUAUUAAGUUUAAAUGUAUCUAUGUUCAUCAGCUCUCGGUAGAUGUUGUCCGAGAUCCUCUAGAGUGGGAGAGGUCAGAUGGGUUGACCUUCUCCUUCCGGUGCUUGUCGUAGAGUGUUGAAGACCUGGGGUUCUUUCCAUCAUCAAGAAUUAGAUAACGAUACGAGUUACGAAGCAUAAUAAUAUUCUUUACAAAAUUAUGAUAUAUUAAACAUCAAUUAUGUACAAAAUAAAACGAGCACUAUUUAA
rnacentral:lncRNA from 1 species